rnacentral:sRNA from 1 species
GUGAGUUGGAGCGCUUAUGAGCGUAGCGAAUAACUCUCAUGCGCUCCAACGACCUGCCCCGCUCGCAUAAGCGAGAGGGGCGAUACCGAUU